GAUGAACGCUGGCGGCGUGCCUAAUACAUGCAAGUCGAGCGAACGGACGCGACGCUUGCUUUUCUGAUGUUUGCGGAGGACGGGUGUAUCACGCGUGGAACCCCCCCCUAUCAGUGUGGGAUAACCACGAGACACCGGCGCUUAUCCGGUAUAAUAUCUUGAAGCACAUGGUUGAAAAGAGAAAGACGGUGUUGCUGUAUCGUCUCGAUGGUUCCGCGCUGCAUUAGCUAGUUGGUAGGGUAAAGGCUUACGACGGCUACGAUGCAUAGCCGAGGUGAGGGGGUGGUCGGCCACACUGGAACUUGGACGCGGACCAGACUCCUACGGGAGGCAGCAGAAGGGUAUCUGCCGCAGUGGUCGAAAGCCUUACGCAGCGACGCCGCGUGAGUUAUGGAGGUCCUCGGAGCGUAAAACUCUCUUAUGAGUUGAGAACAGAUUUGGAAGGUACUGUGCACUGCGUGAAGGUACCGGAUCAGAAAGCCACGGCUAACUACGUG
rnacentral:rRNA from 1 species